rnacentral:rRNA from 1 species
ACGGAAGGCAGCAGUGGGGAAUAUUGCACAAUGGGCGAAAGCCUGAUGCAGCGACGCCGCGUGAGUGAAGAAGUAUCUCGGUAUGUAAAGCUCUAUCAGCAGGGAAGAAAAUGACGGUACUUGACUAAGAAGCUCCGGCUAAAUACGUGCCAGCAGCCGCGGUAAUACGUAUGGAGCAAGCGUUAUCCGGAUUUACUGGGUGUAAAGGGAGCGUAGACGGCAAAGCAAGUCUGAAGUGAAAUCCCGGGGCUCAACCCCGGAACUGCUUUGGAAACUGUUUAGCUAGAGUGCAGGAGAGGUAAGCGGAAUUCCUAGUGUAGCGGUGAAAUGCGUAGAUAUUAGGAGGAACACCAGUGGCGAAGGCGGCUUACUGGACUGUAACUGACGUUGAGGCUCGAAAGCGUGGGGAGCAAACAGGAUUAGAUACCCUGGUA